UUGGGCUGUCAUGUGCAGCUCGUCAGAGGGAAGAGGCAGCUGAGGGGCCAGGAGCUCAAUGGCGGCUUCAAUUCCAGCCAGCCUACCUGGCUGUGGCCCAUAGAGAGCCCUGACCCUCGGGGUCUCAGCCCCCCACGCACACUCAUUUUACAGACACGGGAGGCGAAGGAAUGCACUCAGGUAGCUUCGGCCCGGGAGAGAAGAGGUUAGGAGGGCUCUGAACAGGUGGACGCUGGGGCUGCUCGCUGGGUGACAGGUGCGCCCUGCAUCCCCACCCACUCUGAGCUGCUGUGUGGCCCCUCAGUGUUUUCAGAGAAACCCAAACCCCAGGGCAGCCCCUCCCUGCACACUGGGCCACACAGCCCACCUCCUGCCUGUCCACGGGACCCCCGGUCAGAUUUUCCAGGAGCAGAGCAGAGUGGAGCAUACCAGGAGGAGCUGAAAACAGCCAACCCCUUUGGAGCUGAGAGGUUGAACACCCAGGAGUCUGCCCCAAACAGAUGAGAAUAGGAGUGUCCUCCACCUGGAAAUCUCUCUAAGGCCCCCGCACAGGAGUGGAUGAAAAUCCAUGAGCUGGUGGGUCCACACGCCGGAGCGCCACUCAGCAAGGACCACAGGGGGAAGAGCUGCUGGGCCACAAGACGGGCUGAAGCCCCCACCUCUGAGGGCGCUGAGUGUCCUGCACCCCACAGUGCAGCAGCCCAGGACACGACUCUGUACCGGCUGGAGCUCGUUGUCUGGACGCUCUUGGGCUCCAUCCUGCUCGGCCAUCAGUGUUGUCGUCCCCCUCAUCGACGCUGUCUCUGCUGUCUCCGCCAUCUCUGCUGUGUCCGCCGUGUCUGCUGUUGCUGCUGUCUCUGCCUAGCUGAAAUCAAUGCAUCUGCUCAGCUGCUUCACCACUUGAGUUAUUUACAGCUUUGAUCUAAGUGAG
rnacentral:lncRNA from 1 species